AACAACCCAGAAAACCGCUUUAAAUGCGGAACCCCCGCAGUCCCCGCACCGGGUCAGCUUUGCGCCAUCUUUCCCGUUCUCUCUCAUCCACGGAGAACCGACCUUGGGGACCUGCUGUGACAGCGAGUCCCCGCACCAGGGCUGCCGCGGGCAUCCCUUUUAGUUCAAGACUGCAGCUUUUUUCUUCUCCCGAUCGUUAAAACUGUUAAGAUCCAUUACAGUGACACCCUGUAGAGAAAUAAAAGCCAUUUAAGGAAAACAAAUGGGUCAUUCCCUUUGGCUUUCAAGUCCUAGAUGAGGGCAAAAUCAGGACAAUCAAAAAAUAAAGAAAAUGAACACAGGAACUUUUUUUAACUUUGAAAAUCAAUUGAGUACUUCUCAAGCUGAUUUGUAAGUAUAUGAGCCAACUAAAGCAGAGAGAGGUAAACACCUGGUCACACAGUGAGUCUGUGGCAGAGCUGGAUUAAAACCCAGGUGUCUCCUUCCAGAAUCACACUCGUAGCCACAAGAGUAGAAAUGCUUACUGAAUCGAGCUGAACUACAAUGCAGAACCUAAAAUGAGGUUUAAGUUUUGCAGUUGGUAUAACACUGGAGGAACUGUAUAGUUGGUGUCAACACAGAAAUUGUUUAUUGUCCUGUUUGCUCUGCUCCACUACCCUAAACCUGUCGGUCCCAGCUGCAGACGCCCAUUCCGAGCCCAGGUUUUCCACUAACAAGAGCCACAGCUGUACGGACCGGGACGCCAGGAAUUGGAACCCCCACCAGCGUUACUCAUCUGGGCCUGCCCUGCUCUGCAAUCCAGGCCAAAAGGCAAUGCAAGUUCACCUCAUACGUGGGACACACAAAAUGAAGCGCUUAAACAACUAUUCACAGUAAAGAAAUAAACACAUUAAAGUAGCUGCUGAAUAUAUUUUAACCCAACAUAAGUAAAAAAUAUCAUCUACCUGACAUUGCCUUCAAUGGAUUUUAUUCUAUUUACCAGAAGAAAGAAACUUAAAAAUCCACAAAGCUGACCUAUUCAUUCAACAAGGCUUUUUUUAUUUAAAAAAAAAAGCUAUAUUAUAUGUUCAUCACAAAAAGAUCAAAUAUACAUUUUAAAAUACAAAGACAAAAAUGCUAUACUAGCAUACCAAAAACCAUUCCCUGCAGCAAUAAUUAGUUUUAAUUCAAAUCCUUACAUAUAUCCAUGAUAAACUUAAAACUGUCCUAAUUGAGAAAGUUCAUGACAUGAG